rnacentral:lncRNA from 1 species
CAGGCCAGAGAAGGGUGCCACCAUGUUGGACUGGACGGGGCUGGGACGAGCCACGGCGGCGGAGGAAGCCAUCAUGGAGGAAGCCAUUCCUUCCCUAGGUCCUUUCCUCCGCUAACGGCUUCAACACCUCAAACUUGCUCGUAAUGAACCGUCCUUUUUUCGGGCAUUUAUCAUCCCCCAACUCCAUGACCCGUCUGCAUAAGGACGAUCCAGCAACAUCUCAUGCGCCUCGAUUACCACACGAGGCGUAGGCACCCUUAUCAGCAGGCUGCCUUUUCUGGUUUAAAUUGUCUGCUACCUAUCUCUAUUCCUUUUUCCCGUUGCCGGCUUCUUGUG